AAAGGAAAAAAGGGGACAGAACGCCCAAGACAGUGCCACGCCCCAGCUACGGCGGGUUUGGCGCAGGCUCACGAAGCUCUGUGUCGCGUCAGCCUUACUCACGGUUUUGGUCUCACCACUCCAGUGAAAUGGCUUUUCUCAACAUCACCAGAGUCCAGAACCAAAACCCCUCAUCGCCAACUGUUUAGUCUGGAUAUAAGAAAGCGGAUAGAUUUUCUUCUCAAAAAGUGGAUUCUUUACUCACUGAGCCACCAGGGAAGCCCCAAAAUGCUGGAGUGGGCAGCCUGUCCCUUCUCCAGGGGAACUUCGUGACUCAGGAAUUGAACUGGGGAGUUCUGAUUACAGGAGGAUUCUUUGCCAGUUUUACAAGACUUCCCUGGCGGCACCUUCCAGUGCAGGGGACACAAGUUCGAUCACUGAUCCAGGCAGAUUCCACAUGUCACCCAUGGGGCAACGAAGCCCAUGCACCACCGCUGCUGAGCCAGCAUGCUGCAACUCCCGCGCCCAUGUGCUGCAGUAAGAGCGGCCACCACAGUAAGAAGCCCAUGCACCCCAACAAGGAGUAGCCCCUACUCACUGCCGCUAGAGAAGGCCUGCGCAAAGCAGCAAAGACCCAGUGCAAC